AUUGAACGCUGGCGGCAUGCCUUACACAUGCAAGUCGAACGGCAGCACGGGGCAACCUGGUGGCGAGUGGCGAACGGGUGAGUAAUGCAUCGGAACGUACCUUUCAGUGGGGGAUAACGUAGCGAAAGUUACGCUAAUACCGCAUAUUCUGUGAGCAGGAAAGCAGGGGAUCGCAAGACCUUGCGCUGAUUGAGCGGCCGAUGUCAGAUUAGCUAGUUGGUGAGGUAAAGGCUCACCAAGGCGACGAUCUGUAGCGGGUCUGAGAGGAUGAUCCGCCACACUGGAACUGAGACACGGUCCAGACUCCUACGGGAGGCAGCAGUGGGGAAUUUUGGACAAUGGGGGCAACCCUGAUCCAGCCAUGCCGCGUGAGUGAAGAAGGCCUUCGGGUUGUAAAGCUCUUUCGGCCGGGAAGAAAUCGCACGGGCUAAUACCCUGUGUGGAUGACGGUACCGGAAUAAGAAGCACCGGCUAAUUCCGUGCCAGCAGCCGCGGUAAUAC
rnacentral:rRNA from 1 species